rnacentral:misc_RNA from 1 species
GCCUGUAGGCUUGGUUCAAGUAAACCCAGCUCUGGUGGAAGUGCUGAAAUAUUGUUGUCUGACAGGUCAAGCUCAGUAAGAGAAGUAAGAGUUUUGAAACCCUCUGGGAUUGAUUGUAAAGCAUUUUGGCUCAAGUCGAGGAUUCGCAGUUGUUGUAAGCUCAAUAUAUCUGACGGUACCUCAUGCAAUCGCACAUGUCUUAGGUAAAGCUCUUGCAAAUGAGGCAAGUUAGAAAAUGCUGAAUGGUCAGGUAAUGAAGAUGGAUUACCACUUAGAUCCAGAAUCUGAAGCAUUGAGACUGCUUGAAAUCCGUCCGAUGGAAUCUGUCUCAGUGGAUUAUUGUCCAGCUUCAAACAUGAAAGAUUAGAAAGUGAUUUCAGAAUUGCACCAGGCCACUCUUGGAUCUUGUUCCUGGAUAAAAUCAAAAUCUGGAGGGAAACACAUGAAGAAAGUUCAACAGGCAGCUCUUGGAUAGAAUUCCUAGAAAGAUUGACUUUUACAACUUCACCUGAAUCCCAUACUUCUGAUGGGACAACACUCAGACCCAUCCCUUCUAGAGUAAGUUCCUUGGAACUAACAGAUUCUCGAGCUGCCAUGGCAAUAACAAUCUCCUUUGCUGGAGUAGCAGCUUCAGAAUCUUCAGCUUCAGAAAGUCUACUUCGAAGAUACUUCAAUAAAACAGGCGUAGGUCCAGAAACCAAUGAGCUGCGUAUGGUUCGCAAUGGAUUGCCAGUAAGCAACAGUUUUCUCAAAGUUGUCAUCUUUCCAAUCUCUGAGGGCAAUCCACUCAAUGAAUUAUUUGAAAGAUCCAGGACUGAAAGACGUAAUUUGCAUGCCUCCAUGGGAAAUUCCUUCAGCUGGUUUGAGUGAAGAUCUAGUGUUGCUAAGCGACAAAGUUCCCCAAUCUCUGCUGGUAAAGUAGAAAGUGAAUUGUUCCCCAUAUAAAAUUCCAAAAGGGAACAGCAACCCCUUAUUGAUGGCGGGAUUGAUGAAAUUCUGUUUUGAUGCACGUCAAGACGAAUGAGUCGUGAAAGGCUUCCAAAGUUAUCUGGUACAACAGUGAGAAAGUUCUUCGAUGCAUUAAGUUCUGUAAGCAUGGUCCACGAUGCCAUCAAAUUCCCAGAAAAACUAUUUAGCUUGUUUCCCUCGAAAUCUACUUUCGUCAAUUUUGAACAUUUUGCUAGAUCUUCAGGCAAGCUGGUGAUUAAGUUGUUUGACACCUUCAAUUCAGAUAAAUCUAAACAUCCUCCGAGUGAACCUGGGAGUUCCUUAAGUUGAUUGCUCGAACA